GCGGAAUCCUGCCCGCCCACCUCUAGUCCAAUUACCGAGGAAGCUUCAACGUCCCCUAAUCUGGGGGAAAAAAUCAGCGCUCCUGAGUCUGGGACCAAGGCUCGGUAGAGAUGGAGAGGUUGAGGGGAAAGAGGUGCUCGGAGUGAACAGAUGAUGAAGACGGACACGGCAGCUGGGGAGAUGGAGAGGGACCCGAGUUGGAGCGCCCCGUGCCCUGGCCGGUCUGAAGGAGGGCAUGGGACCAUAGUGAGAACAAGAAAGAACACGGACGUUAACGGCCCCCAGAAGGGUGUAUCAGUUUGGACAUCUGUGCUGGAUAGUGGC